rnacentral:lncRNA from 1 species
CCAGACGGACUUCUCUAGCAAUCAGAUUCCUAUCGGACUUCACCAACAAAAAGUCUCCAUCCGAGCUUCUACAGCAGAUGACUCCCACCUGUAGUAUCAGCGCCUAAGGUAUCCGACAACAGUAGACUCGUUGCAACCUUGGAGACAUCCGAGCUUCUCCCAGAUCGACGGGAUAGAGAGCCAUCCCGCUCCAUCAGAUGUUCCAGCUAAGCUCCAGCCGACAGAUCUGAACUCUCUGGCA